GGGAGUAGCUCAGUUGGUAGAGCAUCAGCCUUCCAAGCUGAGGGUCGCGGGUUCGAGUCUCGUCUCCC
rnacentral:tRNA from 4 species